rnacentral:rRNA from 1 species
AUUGAACGCUGGCGGCAGGCCUAACACAUGCAAGUCGAACGGUAACAGGAAGCAGCUUGCUGCUUUGCUGACGAGUGGCGGACGGGUGAGUAAUGUCUGGGAAACUGCCUGAUGGAGGGGGAUAACUACUGGAAACGGUAGCUAAUACCGCAUAACGUCGCAAGACCAAAGAGGGGGACCUUAGGGCCUCUUGCCAUCGUAUUUUCCCAGAUGGGAUUAGCUAGUAGGUGGGGUAACGGCUCACCUAGGCGACGAUCCCUAGCUGGUCUGAGAGGAUGACCAGCCACACUGGAACUGAGACACGGUCCAGACUACUACGGGAGGCAGCAGUGGGGAAUAUUGCACAAUGGGCGAAAGCCUGAUGCAGCCAUGCCGCGUGUAUGAAGAAGGCCUUCGGGUUGUAAAGUACUUUCAGCGGGGAGGAAGGGAGUAAAGUUAAUACCUUGGCUCAUUGACGUUACCCGCAGAAGAAGCACCGGCUAACUCCGUG